CAAUGAACGACACUCCUACAUACAUUACACAAUCCCUCCCCUUUGCCUGUGAUACAAUUAAGGUAGAUAAUACAGGCAGAAAAACACACAUUUUCCCCAAAGUACAGAAAACACCACAAAACAUAACACAUCCCCAUAACAACAUAUCUAAAAAUCACCCAGAUCAGGGCAAGGGUUCAGGAAAUUCCUGGAAGUCUCUUUUGACCGACCACACGCAUGAAUUCAUGCCCAAAAC